rnacentral:rRNA from 1 species
AUGGGGGACUCAAGCGGGUCGGUGUCCAUCGACGUGGAGCGGAUCUACUUCGGCGGCAAGGAGCAUCCUGUGAGAACAAGAUACGGCUUUGUAUCUGUUUCUGUAUACGGCGAUGAAGACAAGCCAGCGCUCAUAACGUACCCCGAUGUAGCUCUAAAUUACAUGUCCUGCUUCCAAGGAUUGUUCUUCUGCCCAGAGGCUUCGUCCCUGUUGCUUCACAAUUUUUGUAUUUACCAUAUUACUCCUCAAGGCCAUGAGUUGGGAGCGGCUCCAAUUCCAUCGGAUGUACCUGAGCUAUCUGUUGAUAACCUCGCGGAUCAGGUCGCGGAUGUUCUUGAUUUCUUCGGUUUGGGGUCUGUGAUGUGCAUGGGUGUCACCGCCGGUGCCUACGUGCUUACCCUCUUUGCGGCAAAGUACAGGGAAAGGGUUCUUGGCCUGAUGUUGGUUUCACCUCUAUGCAAAGCCCCAUCUUGGAGUGAGUGGUUGUAUAACAAGGUAUUGUUAAACUUACUUUAUUAUUGUGGCACUAGUGGACUAGUGAACGAAUGCUUCCUUCAGCGGUAUUUUAGCACGGAAGUUCGUGGAAGUGGACAAGAACCUGAAUCGGAAAUUGUCCAAGCUUGUAGAAGUUUACUUGAUCAGAGGCAGGGUGUUAAUGUAUGUCGAUUCCUUAAAGCAAUCAACGAGAGACAUGACUUAACUGAAGCACUGAAGAAGCUCCGGUGCCGGACGCUGAUUUUUGUGGGCGAGAACUCACAGUUCCAUGCGGACGCUGUCCACAUGACCACAAAACUAGAUCGGAGAUAUUGCGCUCUAGUCGAGGUUCAGGCAUGCGGGUCGCUCAUCACCGAGGAGCAGCCACAUGCAAUGCUGAUCCCGAUGGAGUACUUCUUGAUGGGAUACGGGAUGUACAGACCGUCCCAGCUCGAGAGCAGCCCCCGAAGCACCCUGAACCCGUUCUGCAUAUCGCCAGAGCUGCUGUCGCCCGAGAGCAUGGGGGUGAAGCUGAAGCCCAUCAAGACCCGGGCCUCCCUCAUUGUCUAA